rnacentral:rRNA from 1 species
UACGAAGGGGGCGAGCGUUGUUCGGAUUUACUGGGCGUAAAGGGCGCGCAGGCGGUUCUGUUUGUCGAGUGUGAAAGCCCCGGGCUCAACCUGGGAACUGCGCUCGAAACGGCGGAACUAGAGUUCGGGAGAGGAGAGUGGAAUUCCCAGUGUAGAGGUGAAAUUCGUAGAUAUUGGGAAGAGCACCGGUGGCGAAGGCGGCUCUCUGGACCGAUACUGACGCUGAGGCGCGAAAGCGUGGGGAGCAAACAGG